rnacentral:rRNA from 1 species
GACGAACGCUGGCGGCGUGCUUAACACAUGCAAGUCGAACGGAAAGGCCCUGCUUUUGUGGGGUGCUCGAGUGGCGAACGGGUGAGUAACACGUGAGUAACCUGCCCUUGACUUUGGGAUAACUUCAGGAAACUGGGGCUAAUACCGGAUAGGAGCUCCUGCUGCAUGGUGGGGGUUGGAAAGUUUCGGCGGUUGGGGAUGGACUCGCGGCUUAUCAGCUUGUUGGUGGGGUAGUGGCUUACCAAGGCUUUGACGGGUAGCCGGCCUGAGAGGGUGACCGGCCACAUUGGGACUGAGAUACGGCCCAGACUCCUACGGGAGGCAGCAGUGGGGAAUAUUGCACAAUGGGCGGAAGCCUGAUGCAGCAACGCCGCGUGCGGGAUGACGGCCUUCGGGUUGUAAACCGCUUUCGCCUGUGACGAAGCGUGAGUGACGGUAAUGGGUAAAGAAGCACCGGCUAACUACGUGCCAGCAGCCGCGGUGAUACGUAGGGUGCGAGCGUUGUCCGGAUUUAUUGGGCGUAAAGGGCUCGUAGGUGGUUGAUCGCGUCGGAAGUGUAAUCUUGGGGCUUAACCCUGAGCGUGCUUUCGAUACGGGUUGACUUGAGGAAGGUAGGGGAGAAUGGAAUUCCUGGUGGAGCGGUGGAAUGCGCAGAUAUCAGGAGGAACACCAGUGGCGAAGGCGGUUCUCUGGGCCUUUCCUGACGCUGAGGGGCGAAAGCGUGGGGAGCGAACAGGCUUAGAUACCCUGGUAGUCCGCGCUGUAAACGGUGGGUACUAGGUGUGGGGUCCAUUCCACGGGUUCCGUGCCGUAGCUAACGCUUUAAGUACCCCGCCUGGGGAGUACGGCCGCAAGGCUAAAACUCAAAGGAAUUGACGGGGCCCCGCACAAGCGGCGGCGCAUGCGGAUUAAUUCGAUGCAACGCGUAGAACCUUACCUGGGUUUGACAUGGAUCGGGAGUGCUCAGAGAUGGGUGUGCCUCUUUUGGGGUCGGUUCACAGGUGGUGCAUGGCUGUCGUCAGCUCGUGUCGUGAGAUGUUGGGUUAAGUCCCGCAACGAGCGCAACCCUUGUUCACUGUUGCCAGCACGUUAUGGUGGGGACUCAGUGGAGACCGCCGGGGUCAACUCGGAGGAAGGUGGGGAUGACGUCAAGUCAUCAUGCCCCUUAUGUCCAGGGCUUCACGCAUGCUACAAUGGCUGGUACAGAGAGUGGCGAGCCUGUGAGGGUGAGCGAAUCUCGGAAAGCCGGUCUCAGUUCGGAUUGGGGUCUGCAACUCGACCUCAUGAAGUCGGAGUCGCUAGUAAUCGCAGAUCAGCAACGCUGCGGUGAAUACGUUCCCGGGGCU